UUAAUUGAAGAGUUUGAUCAUGGCUCAGAUUGAACGCUGGCGGCAGGCCUAACACAUGCAAGUCGAGCGGCAGCACAGAGGAACUUGUUCCUUGGGUGGCGAGCGGCGGACGGGUGAGUAAUGCCUGGGAAAUUGCCCGGUAGAGGGGGGAUAACCAUUGGAAACGAUG
rnacentral:rRNA from 2 species